GCCAAAAUGACGGGCUUUUCAAAUAACUUUCGCAGAAGAGCCUUGAAUCCCCCGCCUACUUCAUUCUUAUUGGUUUUCUCACUGGUUCUUCUUUUGUAUUUUGAACUUUCUGAUUGGUGUUCAGCUCACCGCUAAAUCCUGCCUACAAAUUUAAAUGGUCAAAGUUUGCGCAUGUUGUCAUAGUGUUUGAGGAUUAAUUUUUUUAUAGGUUGCCCUUAAGUGCAGUUUGUUAGGGUAAGACUGAUGCAUUUAGUUACACAGGCCAGGCGAAUUGUUUUGACUGAAUGUGUAUAUAUUCUUUGCGUACUAGUUUUACUGAGUUCAUCUUUAAAUGAGCUAAUCUAAAUGGAUGUGAGUUAAAGGUCUAUGGAAUAUCUUUUGAGGAGGAGAAAACUCCUAAAUACAAAAAUACUCGCUAAAAUUCAACGCUGCCAACAGACUCCCACAGAAGGUCCGUUUAACCUUUGACUGUGUGUGUGUGAUUAUAAAAAAAAAAAAAAAAAAUCUGUUUUUAACAAAAGCUUUUCUCAACAGGAUGUGACAUAUUUUCCCUGAAUAGUGCCAAAGAGGUUGUGAAACUUUUUAAAGAAGAAUUUUGGCAAGAACAGAAGUUAGAAAACCAAGAGGAAGAUGAGGAACAUUGGUCAGAUUUUGGUAGGACCCCACCUAUGCGGUCAUUGCUAAUUAUUAGCAUGGUUCCAAUGCUUUUGAACUGCUUCUAAAGCUCUUGUUGAAUUUAUCCAGAUAUUCUUGAUGACGUGGUGUUUGUGUCUGUGUACAGACACCGUGAUCUUAUGCUGGAUCUGGAGUCUGUUAUAUAGAACUCACUUCAAACACAACAACAGUCACACAGAAUGAUAUCACCGUGCUGCUGUUCUAUUUAAAAUGUUAGUUUACCUAUUAUAUUACUGUAUUUUAUCAUGCACAAGACAAAUCUACCCUGAUACAUCCACUUUUGUCCUCUAGGGGAUGCUGUCUGUAUGGCUUUCGUUCAGUCAUAUAUAGAGGUGGCAGAUGCUCUUGAAGGAGUCUGGUCUCCACUUAUCUUUUUAGAAAUGUCAUUUUUGUUAGAUGUUUUUUUUUUUUUUACCUGGAUUAUUAUUUAUUUAUUUUUUUAAUUUUCAUCAAAUAGAAAACAUUUUAUAUUCACUAACAUUCAAAGGUUUGGAUUAUUUUACUUAGCAAGGAUUCAUAAAAUUAAUAAAAAUAAAUUACAGGAAAAACUUUCACAUAGUGAUAUUAUUAUUAUUAUUAUUAUUAUUAUUAUUAUUAUUAUUAUUAUUAUUAUUAUUAUUAUUAUUAUUAUUAUUAUUAUUUUAUUGUACUAAGAAAAACAUUUAUUUAAACCUGCCUUAAUCUUGCCAUAAAGUAGCCUUUGAUUCUCAUGUGGCACUAAAAUUAAUAUUUGAAAUUAUCAGUGAAAUGCACAGGAUAUGUUAUGCAGAAUGUCUGAGCUUCUGUUUUCCAUGAAGUGAAAGUGGAUGGUGAUUUCCAAGCCUGAGCACCAGAGGAAGUAUUGAAAAGAGUCAAAUGUGCUUAUAUUGGCCUUCUGAAAUAUCCCAGCAUCAGAAGCAGUCUAGGAAGCGUUUACAUAAAAAUAUUAAAGAGUAGUUCAUCCAGAAAUCUUAAUUCUAUCAGCAUUUACUCACCCUUAUGUCAUCCCACACAUUCAUGAUUUUCCACCUUCUUUGGAACACGAAAGAAGAUAUUUUAAAGGAAUUAUGUCAUACAGGUUUGAAAUGACAAGUGGAUGAGUAAAUAAUGACCGAAUGUAUAUUUUUGGGUAAACUAUGCCUUUUAAACCAUAGGAGCCAGCUUAAUUUGAAUGGUCAGAAGGAUGCAGAAAAUGGUCAUAUUAUAAAAAUAUAACAUAUGACUCAGAAAAAUGUCACACUGCUCAUGUACUUGCAUUAUUUGUUACAUUAUGCCAAUCAAAAUUUAUUUUAUGGCCGCAGCAUAUAUUGCAUAACUUAUGAUAUAUGCACAUGAACUUGUCAAUGGUGCUUUUUAUGUUUUAGGUGUAACUUAAUUUGAAGAAACUGUAAGACUCCUUAACACAAUUCUUGGGCUGUUUGCCCACAAAGAGGCAGAGCAAUGGUAUCUGAAAGUUUCAACAUAACUGUUUUGAUGAUGUAAAAUACUUUAGAUUAUGCUUUGCAUUCAAAGAAAUUGUAAGUGUCUUAAUAAGAUGAUACAUGUGUUGACUUCAGGUGUAAUGUCAGAAAGCGUUCCAGCUGACUGUUCUGUGUUUGAUCAGGGUGGAGGGAUUGACAGU
ensembl:lncRNA